AUGCCAUACACACAGACACACAACACAAUGAGCCACCUCGUCGUGGUCGUGGCAUCCCUCGCCGUCGUGCUGCUGGCGCGGUGCGCAGCGGCGUAUCCGUGGCAUUUGUGCGGCACGGCGGCCAACUUCACGGCCAACAGCACGUACCAGGCCAACCUCGGCCUCCUCGCCGCGGCGCUGCCCAAGAACAUCUCCUCGUCCCGGCACCUCUUCGCCACCGCCGUGGUCGGCGCCGCCCCGGACCAGGUCUCGGCGCUCGCGCUCUGCCGGGGCGACGCCAACGCCACGGCCUGCUCCGGCUGCCUCGCCGUGGCCUUCCAGGACGUGCAGAACCAGUGCGCCUACGACAAGGACGCCGCCAUCUACUACGACCCCUGCGCCCUCUACUACUCCUCCAACGCCACCUCCCUCGCCUCCAUGGAUAACGUCGGGAGGACGAACCGCGUCAACAACCAGAACGUCACGUCCGACCCCGGGCGGUUCAACCGCCAGGCGGCCGCGCUCGUGAGCGCCACCGCCGACUACGCGGCGUACAACUCCACGCGCCGGUACGCGUCCGGGGAGGCCGACCUCGGCGUCGGCGGCCAGUUCCCCAGGGUGUACAGCUGGGCGCAGUGCACGCCGGACCUGACGCCGGCGCGGUGCCGUGGUUGCCUCGCCGGACUCAUUGCCAAAAUGUCUAGGCGGUUCACCGGCAGCGUCGGAGGGAGAUCUCUUGGGGUCAGGUGCAGCUACCGAUACGAGACGUACUCCUUCCUCGACGGCCCGGUGAUGGUCAGGCUGGCUGCGCCGCCGAGCUCGGCCGCGCCUGCGCCUGCGCCGGCAGUUGGGCCCACGGUUCCGACUCCAGGGGCGGUCGCCGGAGAGAGGAAGUUCGUCGUUACUGCCACGGUCCUUGUUAUUGUGCUGCCUACCAUCGCAGCUCUGGUGAUAAUCAACCUUCUUGUUUGGCUCUGUAUCUGGAGGAGGAUGAGGAGGCCACAAGCAGGAGCAACUCAACCAUAUUCUAGUCGCGAGAACAUGGAAAGCGUAGAAUCGAUGCUCAUCGACAUUUCUACGCUGAGAGCUGCGACCGGGGGUUUCGCAGUGUACAAGGUAUGUAAUGAACAAAAGUUAGUCCAAGCAUAUAUAAUACCAUCAAACUAUAAUCACUACUCCCUCUGUACCGUUUUAUUUGUUGUUGGGGGUUUCUAGUACAAAGUUUAUCACGUACAAUUCUUUUUGCUGUUUCCUAAACUACCCUCCCACCGCUCGCUCUCGUCCACUCUCUCGCUCACUCACAAGCUCGCUCUCCAUAGCCUGCGUCGUCGGCGCCUCUAUCUCGUCUGCGUCGCCGGCGCCUCUCCCUAGCCUGCAUCGCCUGCGCCUCUACCUCGUCUGUGUCGUCGGCGCCUCUCCCUCGCCCGCGUUGGCGCCGCCUUUCCAUUGGCUCCGUCGCCGUCGCCGUCGCCAAGAUCUCAUUUUUAUUCUCCGGCGGCUCGAUCUGCAACGGCCUUCCUCCAUUCCAACGCCAGCAGCUGCGGUGCAGAUCUCCGAGCUUUACCAACGCCUCUCCGAGCUCGUCCCCAACGUGCGGCAGCCGACCAUGUAGCUUCGUCGCCGACAAGCUGGAGCAGAGGAGGACCGAAGCAAGCUGGAGCAAGUUGCAGCGUGCUUCCCCGACAACGAUGAUUCUCUUGAUUGGAGUGGGGAGGAGCAGCAGAAGUGGACAGCGCAGCGGCUGACCUCAAGCUCUUGAUUGGAGUGGGGGAGGCAGCCGGCGAGGGAUUUGUAGCCAGCAGGGAAGGAUCCGAAGCUGUGGCGGAGCAGGCAGCCCGCGGGGAAGGGCGGCCGGCGAGGGAGCUGCGGACGGUGGCGGGGAAGGGCGGACGGCGAGGGAGCUGCGGACCGCGGCGGGGAAGGACGCCGGAGAUGCGGACGACGGAGGAGCCCGGCGGAGAAUCCUGGCGGAGGGGAGGAGCGACGGAGGAAGACGCCUCCUGAUCAAUUUCAAAUCAGGGGUACUUCCGUACUUUCACGCCAUUUCACCUGGUCGGAACGAAACCCCCAACGACAAAUAAAUCGAAACAGAGGGAGUAGUAUAUUACACUAAUCGUGGCAUGGUUUCAUCUACUCCUUGUGUCGAACUCUUGUCGAGCCUUUUCACCGCUA